rfam:Trichinella murrelli scaffold644s, whole genome shotgun sequence.
AUGGGACGCUCUAAUUCUGACAUGGUGUGAAGAGCCUAUUGAGCUAGCUGGUAGUCCUCCGGCCCCUGAAUGCGGCUAAUCCUAACUGCGGAGCACAUGCUCACGAACCAGUGGGUGGUGUGUCGUAACGGGCAACUCUGCAGCGGAACCGACUACUUUGGGUGUCCGUGUUUCCUUUUAUUCUUAUAUUGGCUGCUUAUGGUGACAAUCAAAGAGUUGUUACCAUAUAGCUAUUGGAUUGGCCAUCCGGUG